ACCAAAUAGUCAAUUUAUAUGCUUUACUCAAUUUAUUUAAAAUCCACAUUAUAACUUCAUAUUUAUCAAAUUCUCAAUAAUUUGUUGUAAUUUAUUCAAAUCUUAUUUCAAUCAAAAUUAAUUUAACCCAAUAACAAUAAUUUCUAAAUUUGAAAUUUACAUUAGAUUUAGUAAACUGAAUCUUAAAUUAUACCGAUUAAAAAUUGGAUUUCGGAUUCAAGUUCAGUGCGUAAAUCUUAAGCUUCUGCCACCCGGGCCCUCGCUGGACAGCCGCAGGCGCCGCCAUCUACGAUGACAGGAAAGUCGUGGAUGCCGAAAAUCGAGCACUCUUCACAUCUUUUGGCUCGAAUUUCACUAAGGAGUUCAUUUUUGGCAUUGGUUGUGCAAGAUUGGCCCUUUAGUCGACCAGAGCGGACUCAACAGGAGCCUAGUAUUGCUAUUAUCAUCAUCGUCGAACAAAAAGAAAGGAAACUACAACUCGCCUGUGUUACAAUGCUCACCUAAGUCGUGAGCAAAGACGAGAUGUGACGUAGAGCAGUAACCGUAGAAUGAUCGACGCUAAGUGGCUAUAGGGAACUGAUAUCGUCCGUUUGCUUGCUGCGUUCACUGGAGAUGAGAACCGAGAGAGAAAGAAGCUGGCGUGACGGUGAGAGGUAGAUGGCUUUCACUAGUUCAGGUGGCCGAAAAUAAGAGAAGAAGAGAGAGAGAGGUUGAGUGCCGCUGGGAUG
rnacentral:lncRNA from 1 species